rnacentral:tRNA from 1 species
GUCCGAUUAGCUCAGUUGGUAGAGCAUCUGACUUGUAAGCAGAAGGUCGCAGGUUCAAGUCCUGUAUCGGGCU